GACGAACGCUGGCGGCGUGCUUAACACAUGCAAGUCGAACGCUGAAGGCUCAGCUUGCUGGGCUGGAUGAGUGGCGAACGGGUGAGUAACACGUGAGUAACCUGCCCUCUUCUUUGGGAUAACGGUCGGAAACGGCUGCUAAUACCGGGUAUUCACUGUCCUUCGCAUGGGGGGUGGUGGAAAGGUUUUUUCUGGUGGGGGAUGGGCUCGCGGCCUAUCAGCUUGUUGGUGGGGUGAUGGCUUACCAAGGCUUUGACGGGUAACCGGCCUGAGAGGGUGACCGGUCACAUUGGGACUGAGAUACGGUCCAGACUCCUACGGGAGGCAGCAGUGGGGAAUAUUGCACAAUGGGCGAAAGCCUGAUGCAGCGACGCCGCUUGAUGGAUGAAGGCCUUCGGGUUGUAAACCUCUUUCGCUCAUGGUCAAGCCGCAUCUCUGUGUGUGGUGAGGGUAGUUGGUAAAUAAGUCCGGCUAUCUUCGUGCCAUCAGCCGCGUUAAUACGUGGGUUUGAGCGUUGUCCUGUCAUAUUGGGCUGUGUGGCUUGGAUGCCGUUUCUCUCGUCUGCCGUGAAAUCGUCUGGUGUGACUGGGUGUGUGGCGUUGUGUACGGUCUGACUUUGAGUUCGUUGUGGUAGAUGUGUGCUCCUGGUGUUGUGUUGGGAUUGCGCAGAUUGUAUGUAGUGCUGUGUUGUGUGAAGCUAGGCCUGUGUGCUGUUGUUACUAUGAUGAGUGUUGCGUUGGUGUGUUCGGUGAUAGAUACCUGUUUGUCUGUUUGCUGAUGCUGUCGGUGUGCGUGCUUUCUCUACUUAAUGUUAUGUUUGUCUCUUUUUUUGUUUGUAUGUGUAAUGAUGUGGUAUAGUGUGGUGCUGUGAGGUAUUGCCCUGUUGC
rnacentral:rRNA from 1 species